GAUGAACGCUAGCUACAGGCCUAAUACAUGCAAGUCGGACGGGAUCUAUCGGAGAGCUUGCUCGAAGAUAGUGAGAGUGGCGCACGGGUGCGUAACGCGUGAGCAACCUACCCAUAUCAGGGGGAUAGCCCGGAGAAAUCCGGAUUAAGACCGCAUAACACUGUAAUUUGGCAUCAUGUUACAGUUAAAUAUUUAUAGGAUAUGGAUGGGCUCGCGUGACAUUAGCUAGUUGGUGAGGUAACGGCUCACCAAGGCGACGAUGUCUAGGGGCUCUGAGAGGAGAAUCCCCCACACUGGUACUGAGACACGGACCAGACUCCUACGGGAGGCAGCAGUAAGGAAUAUUGGUCAAUGGGCGGAAGCCUGAACCAGCCAUGCCGCGUGCAGGACGACUGCCCUAUGGGUUGUAAACUGCUUUUGUCGAGGAAUAAACCUAUCUACGUGUAGAUAGCUGAACGUACUCGAAGAAUAAGGAUCGGCUAACUCCGUGCCAGCCGCCGCGGUAA
rnacentral:rRNA from 1 species